rnacentral:rRNA from 1 species
UUCCUCUAGAAAAAAUUAUAGGUAAAACCUGCUCCAUGAAAUAAUAAAUAGCUGCAGGAGACUGUACUAAGGUAGCAUAAUCAUUUGUCUUUUAAUUGAAGACUAGAAUGAAGGGUUAAACGUAUUUUAAAAAAUCCUGUUUAAAAAUAUCUAAAUUAAUUUUUAAAUAAAAAAGUUUAAAUGCUUUUUAGGGACGAGAAGACCCUAAAAAGCUUAUAUAAAUAUUCUAAUUUUAUUGAAAUUUUAUUUUAGUUGGGGCAACUUAAUAAGAUAAAGAUCUUGAUUUUAAGCGAUCCAAAAUUUUUGAUUAUAAAUAAAGUUACUUUAGGGAUAACAGCAUAAUAAAACUAUUCAAGAUCAAAUUGAUUAGUUUGUUUGUGACCUCGAUGUUGGAUUAAUUUUCCUAAAAGAGGAAUAAUAUUUUUAAGGUCGUCUGUUCGACGAGUAAUCUAUUACA